rnacentral:lncRNA from 1 species
UUUUCCAUUGCACGAGGCUUAUUUCACAAUAUUACUAAUUGAUUUGGGAGGAAAACUAUCAAAAGAAUCAUAUUUUUGAAGGUAUGUUGAUAAAAGUAGUUAUUUGAACGUUUGAAUACUUUCAUUUAUAUAUGUAAAUGAACGUGAUAGUCUGUUUUUAUAUUAAAAAUACAUUAUAAAAAUUCGAAUUCUAUCUCCUCUAGGUGUAUAUUUUGUUGUGUGUUCGUGGCGAUUAUUUGAUCAAAUCAAGUCAAAAUUAAAGGAGCCGUUCAUAUUAUGUUUUUCACAAAAGCAGUGAAUUGUGAACUCUGUGUAACUGUACCAAACUUGCUAGCUAUGUGUGAACUAGCUAUAUUUUAUACUUUAUACUAGCGAGGUUGUGAUCUUGCUAGCUGGACAAUCGUCGACGGUUGGCAAUAAUAAAGUUGUAUCACUUCUGUACUGAUUCUGUCAAAAGAUCAAGCCAACAAGGUAUUGUAUAUCAAAUUUUACAAAUAUGUAGGUUGUAUGUAAAUUAGAAAAUUGUCAAUAAAAAUAGUUAUAUAUAUAUUUAUUAUAUUACAGUAAAAUGAUUAUUGAUAUUGUUAUUAUUUAAUUAUGGGAAUAUGAUAUGCAGUAAUUAUUAGUUAAGCCGUGUAUAAAAGAACCAGUGAAUUUUGACUUCAGGCUGAAGUGGUUCGUAUAUUGUCUUACUUCACACUAUACUUUUUUAUAUUCAACACAUUGCAUUUUGGGUGCUCAAUUGCCCAAAUUUCAGGCUAGUGGUUCUUAACCUACUGGUUCUUUUAUGCAAGGGCAAGGCUUUACUGUAAUGUCUGUAUAUCAAAUCAAUAGACCUUAUGCAUAAUGACGUCUUAAGGCUUGAUGGCCAGGAAAAUUUCAAUAGUGGCCAUUUUGGAUUGUUUAAUUUUCCUGGGCGAUUACUAAAGUCCUGGGCAAACUAGGAAACGUUAUUGCGGACGAACAGGCGUGGACGAACAGGGUGGACGAACAGGGUGGGCGAAUAGGGAAACGUCUGAGGAAACAUCGACAAUUACAAAUGUUUCUGCAACGUUUCCUAGUUUGCCCAUAGCUUAAGACCAGCAUUCCUGGCAGGCAUCAAGCCUUGUCACAUCAUUAUGCAUAAGGUCAAAUGAGCAGUAUGAUAUCCAAAUUGUAACACACAAUUGUACACGAAUGAAAAAUUAUUUGACUUUUUUCCAUAAUGCUCACAAUUUCUUUCUUAUUAUAUAGUUUUACAGUUCUGACUGAGUACAAUCUUAGUAUCAAGUCAAUCAUUUAUAAAAAGAAUGGUGUCAUAUGAAGCUGACAUAUUAAACAAUUGCAAUCUUAAUCAUUUACACAAUGAAUGGUGUCAUAUAAAGCUGACGUAUUAAACAAAAAUGUCAACAAAAUAGAUUUUGUCUCCCCAUCGGCAGAUUGUUCUGUUGUUCUGCGGUAGUGUUAGUUUUGAAAGUACCAUUAAAAUGAUAAUUGAGGCAAAAACUGACUUACUGGUAG